CUGAUGAAACUGCAACCUGAGCUGCCAAGAACAAGCUGGCUCCUGCCUCUCACCCUGUUUCCCUAGGCAUCCAAGCCUCCUUCUGUGGCAUCCCAUUCGGCAUCUAAUACAGACACGGUGACUGACUGGAAAUUACUACUCAAGAUUUGUCAGCUGACUGGUAGAAUACUUGGAAGCUCAACCAUGCGCCUGGUAAAAGCUAAACCCAGGAAAUAACAUGGCCUCAAGCUGAAGGGGAAAUGCCUGACAAUGUCCACUGGGAAAAGGAAAAAAACAAGUGAGACUCAAGUUGUGAUCCUGCUUCCCAGGUCUUUCCUGCCCACCUCUUCCUUUCUUUUGGGGGUACACUUUCACUGGCAAGGAGAAUAAAAAGCUGUUACAAACAGAAACUUGUAAAGUGAUGAAGAAUUGAGCCAGUGGGCACAGAAAUAAAUGCUAUAACUGUAAAAUGGUGGAUGGGAAAAUGUGUGCAGACAGGCCGUGAAUGAAAAGAGGCACUGUGCAUGUCACUACCUUGGACAGGAGUUUUUAAAAAGUCUUACCAUCUCACUUUUCCCUUGCCUUAUUUUUCUGGGUAGAUUUGACAGCUCAGAAUUCCUGAGUGACUCUCCUUUCUUAUUUCACAUCUUUUUGGUUCAUUUUUCUUCUUUUCACAAUUUGAAAGCCCUCAUCCCAAGCUUUAGAAAGGAGGGAGGGGAAAGCCACCACAGGCCUGGGCUUUACCCAUGACUUUCUAUGACUUAGAAGACUCUCACAUUCUCUGCAUCUGUGGGUUUCAUCAGUCAAGUGUGCAUAGACAAUGCCCCUUCCAACCAUGAAACAGGAAGGUGCAAAUAGCAAGCAGGAGAACAUGCGCACUAUUUAACCUCUUCAGAGUCAUCAGUACAGUGUCUCUCCCAAGUCUUUCCUCACCUUGGUACAAGCCUUGUUGUAUGCUUCCAGGGCUCUGUGACUUUCCACCCAUAACUCUUUUUCUUGUCCAUCACUUCAAAUGUUACUUCACAUGCCUAUGCUGUCAUUUCAGUUUACCCUUUCAUUUCUCUCAUGUUUUUAAUUCACAUUAAUAAAUGCCUCACCCAAAUUACAGUCUCUUAUCUAUGAUUUUUAAAACUACAUAAAAUUUCAUUCCUAUGUGAGAUUGAAAUGCUAAAUUUAAUUCUCCCUUAAAUUGGAACCGUGUGAAAUUUCCUUUAAAAUCUCUUAACCAAGGAUGCCCACUUUCUUUUAUUCAACAUAGUACUGGAAGUCCUAACCAGAGAAAUUAGGCAAGAGAAAAAAAUAAAAAGCAUCUAAAAUUGACAGCAAUAAGUCAAAUUGCCACAGUUUUCAGAUGAUGUGAUUUUAUAUAUAGAAAACCCCAAACACUCUAUAAAAAGCUAUUAGAACUAAUAAACAAAUUCAGCCAAGAGGCAGGAUAAUAGAUCAACAUACAAAAUCCAUAGCAUUACUAUCUAGCAAUAGCAAAUUAUUUGAAAAAGAAAGCAAUCUCAUUCCCAACAGCUACCAAAAAUCAAAAUGUCUAUACAUAAAUUUAACAAAAGAGGUGAAAGUUAUCUACAAUAAAAGCUAAAAGACAUUAAUGAACAAAUUUGGAGAGGAUGCAAAGAUAUCAAAAGAUAUUCAAUGUUCGCGGGUUGGAAAAAUCAAAAUUGCUAUUUAUUUUAUUUAAAUUAAUCUGCAGACUCAGUGCAAUCCUUAUCAAAAUAUCAAUGACAAUAUUCACACAACUAAAAAGCAAUUCUAAAAUUUAUAUAGAACCACAAAGGAAAUCCUCAGUAACUGAGAUAAUUUUGAGAAGAAGAAAAAAAACCCAAAGCAAAACAAAACAACAAAGCAAGAGGCAUUCAAAAUAUACCACAAAACUAGAACAAUCACAGAAGCAUGGCAUGGAUAUUGAAAAAGGCAAACGGAUCAAUGGAACAGAAUAGAAAAUGUAGAAGUAAACUCAUAUAUUACUAGCCAGCUGAUUUUCAACAAAUGUACCAAGAACACACAUUAGAGAAAGGCUAGUCUUCAAUAAACAGUGCUGGAAAAAUUGGGUACCCACAUGCAGAAAAAUGAAACUAGACCCCUGUCUCUCACCACAAACAAAGAUUAAUUCAAAAUAAAUUAAAGACCUAAACGUAAGACCUGGUUAUGAAACCACUAAAAGAAAACAUAGGGGAAAUAUUUCAAGACAUCAGAAUGAGGAAGGAUUUUUUUUAAAGAUAAGAUCCUUAAAGCACAAAUAACAAAAGCAAAUUAGACAAAUGAGAUUUCAUCAAAUUAAAAAUCUUGUGCACAGCAAAGGAUACAUAUUGAGAUAAUGACAGAAGAAAAUGUUUAUAAACUGUACAUCUGACAAAGGAUUAAUAACCAGCAUGUAUAAAGAACUAAAAAUCUCAAUCACAAAAGAAAAAAAUGCAUAAAAUGGUAAACAGAUACAGACAUUUUCAAAGAAAGACAAAUAUCUAAGGGGAACAUAAAAAAUUACUCUGCAUCACAAUCCAUCAGGAAAAUGGAAAUCAAAACUACAAAGAGAUAUUAUCUUUUAUAAUGGCUACUAUAAAAAAAGACAAUAAGUGCUGGUGAGGAUGAGCAAAAAAGGGAACCCGGGAACACUAUUAGUGGAAAUGUAAAUUAGUACAAAUACUACAGAAAACAGUAUAGAGGUUUCUCAAAAAUUAAAAAUAGUACAGCCAUGAAAUCCAGCCAUCCCACAACUGAAUUUAUAUCCAAAGAAAGUAAAAUUGGUGGUUUAAAGAGGCAUUUUCACAGCUGUUUAUUGUAGCACUUUCCACAAUAUGCAAGAAAUGGAAACAAUGUAAGUGUCCAUCAGGUGUCGAGUGGAUAAAGAAAAUGUGGUACAUAUACAUAAUGGAAUACUAUUUAGCGAUAAAAAGAAUAAAAUCCUGUUAUUUGUAACCACAUGGAUAGAACUGGAAGUAUUAUGUUGAAUAAAAUAGGGCAGUCUCACUCAUACAUGGAAUAUUUAAAAAAGAUGAUCUCAUGGAACUUGAGAAGAGAAUGUAGCAGAAGCUAGGAAGAAGGAGAGGAGAGAAGAUGGGGAAAAGAUAACAGUACUGAGUUAUUGUUGGGCAGAAAAAGUAGUUUUAGUGUUCUUUGUACAGUAAAUUUACUACAG